GAUGACGCUGGCGGCAGGCCUAACACAUGCAAGUCGAACGAGUGGCGGACGGGUGAGUAAUGUCUGGGAAACUGCCUGAUGGAGGGGGAUAACUACUGGAAACGGUAGCUAAUACCGCAUACCAUCGGAUGUGCCCAUAUGGGAUUAGCUAGUAGGUGGGGUAACGGCUCACCUAGGCGACGAUCCCUAGCUGGUCUGAGAGGAUGACCAGCCACACUGGAACUGAGACACGGCCCAGACUCCUACGGGAGGCAGCAGUGGGGAAUUUUGCACAAUGGGCGCAAGCCUGAUACAGCCAUGCCGCGUGUAUGAAGAAGGCCUUCGGGUUGUAAAGUACUUUUAGCGGGGAGGCGGUACCCGCAGAAGAAGCACCGGCUAACUCCGUGCCAGCAGCCGCGGUAAUUC
rnacentral:rRNA from 1 species